rnacentral:tRNA from 1 species
CCGAUGGUAGCUCAGCUGGAUAGAGUACUCGGCUACGAACCGAGCGGUCGGAGGUUCGAAUCCUCCCGGAUGCACUA